UACGUAGGGGGCGAGCGUUGUCCGGAAUUACUGGGCGUAAAGGGCGUCUAGGUGGCACGAUACGUCGGGAGUGUAAGACGCGGGCUCAACCCGCGCAUCGCUCUCGAAACGGUCGCGCUGGAGGGCCGGAGAGGGAAGCGGAAUUGCCGGUGUAGCGGUGAAAUGCGUAGAGAUCGGCAGGAACACCAGUGGCGAAGGCGGCUUCCUGGACGGUACCUGACACUGAAGCGCGAAAGCGUGGGGAGCAAACGGG
rnacentral:rRNA from 1 species